rnacentral:rRNA from 1 species
UACGGGGGGGGCAAGCGUUGUUCGGAAUUACUGGGCGUAAAGGGCUCGUAGGCGGCCAACUAAGUCGGAUGUGAAAUCCCCAGGCUUAACCUGGGAACUGCAUCCGAUACUGGAUGGCUUGAAUCCGGGAGAGGGAUGCGGAAUUCCAGGUGUAGCGGUGAAAUGCGUAGAUAUCUGGAGGAACACCGGUGGCGAAGGCGGCAUCCUGGACGGCUAUUGACGCUGAGACGCGAAAGCGUGGGGAGCAAACAGG